GAGUAAUGCCUAGGAAUCUGCCUGGUAGUGGGGGACAACGUUUCGAAAGGAACGCUAAUACCGCAUACGUCCUACGGGAGAAAGCAGGGGACCUUCGGGCCUUGCGCUAUCAGAUGAGCCUAGGUCGGAUUAGCUAGUUGGUGGGGUAAUGGCUCACCAAGGCGACGAUCCGUAACUGGUCUGAGAGGAUGAUCAGUCACACUGGAACUGAGACACGGUCCAGACUCCUACGGGAGGCAGCAGUGGGGAAUAUUGGACAAUGGGCGAAAGCCUGAUCCAGCCAUGCCGCGUGUGUGAAGAAGGUCUUCGGAUUGUAAAGCACUUUAAGUUGGGAGGAAGGGCAGUAAGCUAAUACCUUGCUGUUUUGACGUUACCGACAGAAUAAGCACCGGCUAACUCUGUGCCAGCAGCCGCGGUAAUACAGAGGGUGCAAGCGUUAAUCGGAAUUACUGGGCGUAAAGCGCGCGUAGGUGGUUCGUUAAGUUGGAUGUGAAAGCCCCGGGCUCAACCUGGGAACUGCAUCCAAAACUGGCGAGCUAGAGUACGGUAGAGGGUGGUGGAAUUUCCUGUGUAGCGGUGAAAUGCGUAGAUAUAGGAAGGAACACC
rnacentral:rRNA from 1 species